rnacentral:rRNA from 1 species
AUUGAACGCUGGCGGCAGGCUUAAUACAUGCAAGUCGAGCGGGGAGAUGUAGCUUGCUACAUUACCUAGCGGCGGACGGGUGAGUAAUGCUUAGGAAUCUGCCUAUUAGUGGGGGACAACAUUCCGAAAGGAAUGCUAAUACCGCAUACGCCCUACGGGGGAAAGCAGGGGAUUUUUGGACCUUGCGCUAAUAGAUGAGCCUAAGUCAGAUUAGCUAGUUGGUGGGGUAAAGGCCUACCAAGGCGACGAUCUGUAGCGGGUUUGAGAGGAUGAUCCGCCCCACUGGGACUGAGACCCGGCCCCGACUCCUACGGGAGGCAGCCGUGGGGAAUAUUGGACAAUGGGCGAAAGCCUGAUCCAGCCCUGCCGCGUGUGUGAAGAAGGCCUUUUGGUUGUAAAGCACUUUAAGCGAGGAGGAGGCUACCGAGAUUAAUACUUUUGGAUAGUGGACGUUACUCGCAGAAUAAGCCCCGGCUAACUUUGUG